GAGGCUAUAGUAUACGUAGUACGUCUUGCUUACACCAAGGCAGACCCCCGCUGGGGGUAGCCUCU
rnacentral:tRNA from 1 species